GACGAACGCUGGCGGCGUGCUUAACACAUGCAAGUCGAACGGAAAGGCCCUGCUUUUGUGGGGUGCUCGAGUGGCGAACGGGUGAGUAACACGUGAGUAAACUGCCCUUGACUUUGGGAUAACUUCAGGAAAAUGGGGCUCAUACCGGAUAGGAGCUCCUGCUGCAUGGUGGGGGUUGGAAAGUUUCGGCGGUUGGGGAUGGACUCGAGGCUUAUCAGCUUGUUGGGGGGGUAGUGGCUUACCAAGGCUUUGACGGGUAGCCGGCCUUGGAGGGUGACCGGCCACAUUGGGACUGAGAUACGGCCCAGACUCCUACGGGAGGCAGCAGUGGGGAACAUUGCACAAUGGGCGGAAGCCUGAGGCAGCAACGCCGCGUGCGUGAUGACGGCCUUCGGGUUGUAAACCGCUGUCGCCUGUGACGAAGCGUGAGUGACGGUAAUGGGUAAAGAAGCACCGGCUAACUACGUG
rnacentral:rRNA from 1 species